UACGGAGGGUGCGAGCGUUGUCCGGAAUCACUGGGCGUAAAGGGCGCGUAGGCGGCUCGUUAAGGGUGCGGUGAAAGCCCGGGGCUUAACCCCGGGUCGGCCGUGCCGACUGAUGAGCUCGAGCACUGUAGAGGCAGGUGGAAUUCCGGGAGUAGCGGUGGAAUGCGUAGAGAUCCGGAAGAACACCAGUGGCGAAGGCGGCCUGCUGGGCAGUGGCUGACGCUGAGGCGCGACAGCGUGGGGAGCAAACAGG
rnacentral:rRNA from 1 species